CCUGCGUCAGCCUCCGGAGUAGCUGGGACCACAUGGGCCCGCCACCACGCCCGGCUAAUUUUUUGUAUUUUUAGUAGAGACGGGUUUCACCGUGUUAGCCAGGAUGGUCUCGAUCUCCUGGCCUCGUGAUUCGCCCGCCUCCGCCUCCCAAAGUGCUGGAAUUACAGGCGUGAGCCACCGCACCGGGCCACUUUUUUUUUUUUUAAUAAACUUUCCAUCGGGCUAAAUCCCAUUAAAUAACACAAUUAGCUUAUAUAAUGUGUUUAUUUUUUAUUAAAUAUGAAGUGUACAUUUUUUUUCUGGCGGUUUCCUAACUCUAAUGAAAUAUCCUACUUUGUAGCUAUUCUUUCUUUUUCUGCUUAAUAAUAAUUGGGAUCUUACAAAGGUGAAUCACGAGUGCCAGAUGCCCUCUCUCACCACUCCGAUUUAACAGAGUGUUGGAAGUUCUGGCCAGAGCAAUCAAUCAGGCAGGAGAAGGAAAUAAAGGGUAUUCAAUUAGGAAAAGAGGAAGUCAAAUUGUCCCUGUUUGCAGAUGACAUGAUUUUAUAUCUAGAAAACCCCAGUGUCUCAGCCCAAAAUCUCCUUAUGUUGAUAAGCAACUUCAGCAAAGUCUCAGGAUACAAAAUAAAUGUACAAAAAUCACAAGCAUUCUUAUACACCA
rnacentral:lncRNA from 10 species